AACCUAAGAUUUUGUAAAAAAUGUAGACUUGGACCAGUUGGCUACCAUUAACAGCACUGAUUAACUUUUGACAACAUGUUAGGUGAAUUUAAACAGGGAGUGUCUGGUUAUUUGUAUGUGAAAUGUCGAAACACAGAAUGCGGUCAUGUGAAAAACACACAGACUCUAGUAGAUUGAAGACCUGUGAAAGUUGGAAUGCCAUGGUUCGUUGUCAACACAAAAUUAGGAACAGCAAUGAUUGAUAGUGUAGGUGGGCCGGUGAGGGUCAACAAUUUGUUGUCAACACUAAAUAUACCAACAAUUGGAAAUAAAAACAUGAAAAGAAAUGGAGAGACGUGUUGGAAAUAUCAUUGAGACAGCACUGGCUUCUAUGCCGACAGAAUCUGCUGCAUAAGAUCAAGGAAAUGGAGGAUGUGCAUCAUGAAGAAUCAAUGGUAUCAGAACACAACAUCAUGGAAGAUCUUAUUGACAAGAUCUCGGAGGAUGUCCUUUGCCAGAUGUUUGCCAGCACUAAAGUCUAUUCAUCAGUCAAAUGCUACAGUUACAAAUGACAGUGAAUGGUCAGAUUUAUACAAUUGUGAUUAACAAUCCUCAACAAUACAUCAAACAAAAAUGCCUAUUAAACUGUAAGUUGAAAUCUA